UGAGUGAAACUUUUUUUGAAGGCAGAGGGAGAUAGCCACCACUCCAACCUUUCCGGCGGAAAGGAAAGCACCGACCCGGCUGCACAUCUUUGUGGGUCUUCUCCACGGGAUGAUUCUUUGUCCCAGUUCAAGCCUAUAACACCAAAACACCAGAAUUAUGAGAUAAUAUUACAAAAUGUCAUGAGACUAUUUUUGUAGGACAGCGGGCCGUUUGCUCCGAUGCCUGAAGAAACUACAUCCGUGAACAUCAUUAACAUAUGCGGCUGCGUAACGCUGUGGAAGCCUGAUUUUGGGCGGAGCUCAGGCUCGCCGACUACGACAGCGCAGAAUGCAACCUGCUGGCAGCAGAUGUUACAACUUGUUUGGCAGUUCCUGCUGGAGCGCAUUAUACGCAGAUUCAUUUGAGGAACAACGACUUCGCUACCAGACUUCGACCGACAAUGCUACAGCUCCGAUAUUGAAGAAACACCGAGCCAACGACACUCUGCGGACUCGAGACACUUCGGACAUGCUGAUGGCGCAUAUUUCAACCGCUUACCGAUCGACUAUUCUCCAAACACUGAGAUGCCUUUCCCAGUUCUCCAGAUGGACUUUUUCUGAGGAUCACCCAACACACAUUUUUCGGAACAAAGCAAUUAUUUUAUGGCAAUGCUGUAAUGUAAUUGUAAUUUUAACCUCUGGACAUGUAAUCUUCAAUCUCUUUCUACAUUUUUAACAUCUAUUUCUAUUUACUCUGUGUGCUGUUUUCCACUCUUUAUGUCAUUUUCUGUAUCUUUAUGUGGAUUUGGGCAGAAAUACUGUAUGACCUCAUUGUAAAGGCUUAACAACUUUGUUGAAUAAAACAAAUCAAAUCUUA